rnacentral:rRNA from 1 species
UACGGAGGGUGCGAGCGUUGUCCGGAAUCACUGGGCGUAAAGGGCGCGUAGGCGGCCGAGCAAGGUCGCGGUGAAAGCCAGGGGCUCAACCCCGGACUUGCGGUGGGUACGGGCAGACUAGAGUGUGGUAGGGGAGACUGGAAUUCCUGGUGUAGCGGUGAAAUGCGCAGAUAUCAGGAGGAACACCGAUGGCGAAGGCAGGUCUCUGGGCCACUACUGACGCUGAGAAGCGAAAGCGUGGGGAGCGAACAGG